UACGGGGGGGGCAAGCGUUGUUCGGAAUUACUGGGCGUAAAGGGCGCGUAGGCGGUUUGCUAAGUUGGGUGUGAAAACUCUGGGCUUAACCCAGAGCCUGCAUUCAAAACUGACAGGCUAGAGUUCUGGAGGGGAUAGCGGAAUUCCUGGUGUAGCGGUGAAAUGCGUAGAUAUCAGGAGGAACACCGGUGGCGAAGGCGGCUAUCUGGACAGAAACUGACGCUGAGGCGCGAAAGCUAGGGGAGCAAACAGG
rnacentral:rRNA from 1 species